UACAGAGGUCCCAAGCGUUAAUCGGAAUGACUGGGCGUAAAGGGUGCGCAGGCGGUUGGUCAAGACGGAUGUGAAAGCCCCGGGCUUAACCUGGGAGUGUCAUUCGUGACUGACGAACUAGAAUAUGGCAGAGGGAGGCGGAAUUCCACAUGUAGCAGUGAAAUGCGUAGAGAUGUGGAGGAACACCGAUGGCGAAGGCAGCCUUCUGGGCUAAUAUUGACGCUCAGGCACGAAAGCGUGGGGAGCAAACAGG
rnacentral:rRNA from 1 species